GCUAUGAUGUAUUACAGAGGUGCUGUCUACUGAUGUACUACUCCCCUAAUUUAUCUCGCUGAGUCACCUGUGUCUCACAUAGUUUGUAUUUUUUCUCAAAUGUCUUUUGGUUUAUGUGACACCUGAAAUCCAAGAAGCAUGUCUGGUAACAAAUUCGGGCUGAGGUAAAGUCCUAGAAGUGGAAACAUAUGGAAGAAAUUAGGGAAGACAGACAGGUUAGAAGAAAGAGGAGAACAGAGGAAGGAAAGUGAGGUCAGACAUCAAGGACAACAAAAAGGGACAAGGUUUCACAGCGUCAUCAGACUUCAUUGAGACUCUUAUUCAGCUUCUGUAUGCGGAAACCGAAACUUAAGAGAUUAAGAUAACUGGUGACACUGUGCUGCUGCUGGGUGAGCUUUACGAGUCUGACUCUGUUCAACGAAGUGGAAUGACAGCCAGACACAAGGGUGUGCAGGCAGAGCCCUGACCCAGGCAAAGUGGAAAACAGGCAGCUAGUAGGAAGCGCUUACCUGCGUGUUUACUUCAGUAUUAAUUUUUCUUAGUUAAACAAAACAUCCCAAUAUCCUUGUAAUAUAAUUCUUUCACAUUAACUGGUGAGGCUGCAGAAAUCAGAGAAGUGGACCAAAGAUACCUCAUGAGGAAUCAGUGUGAAAAAAGAAAGGCUGCAAGUGAAGUGCACAUGCUUUGUCAAAGCACUAAGCAGAAUAAUAACUACUCCAAACCUGGUGGGCGUGAGCGUCUCUAGUACCCUUGAGAGCCUGCAUCUGUCAUACUGUCAUCACACAACUGGCAGAGUUUAAAAUAGUGAGGGGGACAGCAUAACCAGAUGGACUUCACUUGACAGAAAGCAAUGAUUCAUCCAUUCCUUCUCUAUCGUACCAGGGAGUGUUCAGAGCAGCUCCAGAAACAUUCAGUGCUGAGCUUUUCUUUUCCAAGAAUUCAGGGAUUGCUUAAAGACAACCUUAUAUGGUUAAACUCUCCCCAAAAUUCACCUGGAAGCUGUAGCUCCCAUGGGAGGUAAAACCUCCAUCAAAAGUAGAAAACAUCCACCAGAAUCAGGUAUUAGAAUCAAGGGGCACCAUCAAGGAUGGAGUCAAUUUUCUUCAUAACAGCCCAUAUAGUGUUGGGGUUUAGCCCAGUGACCAAAACAGUGUUGAUAACACAUCAACGUUUUAGCUCCAACAUUUAGCAUUUGUUUCUGACUGCGUCCCCAGGUGAGUAGGCUGGGGGUGGACGAGAUGAUGGGAGGUAACACAGCUGGGACAACUGACUGCAGGGAUCUCCCAUGUUGUCUAAUGGUAUGUUCAUGGGGCUAGCAGUCAGGAUCAACCAAGAGCCCAGAUUUUCAUGCUGACGAGGCAGGUCCUAUGUCAAGCUGUGGAGUCAAUCCUUAGGUCAGGAUCAGGUCCUGUGAUGGCAACCAAGGUCACACAGAGACACUGAUCACCAGGCUGGUCCAUAGAGAUGAGACAGGUCUGAGAUUAACCCAGAAAAUCAGUUCAUGGGUCAGGAAACAGAUCAACAGGAUCCAUGGCUUGCCAUGGGCAUGGACAUAUGCAUGAAUGUGAGAGAUGGAGACAAACACAACUACAUCGCAGCUCA